GAUGAACGCUGGCGGCGUGCCUAAUACAUGCAAGUCGAGCGAACGGACGAGAAGCUUGCUUCUCUGAUGUUAGCGGCGGACGGGUGAGUAACACGUGGAUAACCUACCUAUAAGACUGGGAUAACUUCGGGAAACCGGAGCUAAUACCGGAUAAUAUUUUGAACCGCAUGGUUCAAAAGUGAAAGACGGUCUUGCUGUCACUUAUAGAUGGAUCCGCUCUGCAUUAGCUAGUUGGUAAGGUAACGGCUUACCAAGGCAACGAUGCAUAGCCGACCUGAGAGGGUGAUCGGCCACACUGGAACUGAGACACGGUCCAGACUCCUACGGGAGGCAGCAGUAGGGAAUCUGCCGCAAUGGGCGAAAGCCUGACGGAGCAACGCCGCGUGAGUGAUGAAGGUCUUCGGAUCGUAAAACUCUGUUAUUAGGGAAGAACAUAUGUGUAAGUAACUGUGCACAUCUUGACGGUACCUAAUCAGAAAGCCACGGCUAACUACGU
rnacentral:rRNA from 1 species